rnacentral:rRNA from 1 species
UACGAAGGGGGCUAGCGUUGCUCGGAAUUACUGGGCGUAAAGCGCACGUAGGCGGAUUCUUAAGUCAGGGGUGAAAUCCCGGAGCUCAACUCCGGAACUGCCUUUGAUACUGAGAAUCUCGAGUCCGGGAGAGGUGAGUGGAACUCCGAGUGUAGAGGUGAAAUUCGUAGAUAUUCGGAAGAACACCAGUGGCGAAGGCGGCUCACUGGCCCGGUACUGACGCUGAGGCGCGAAAGCGUGGGGAGCAAACAGG